rnacentral:lncRNA from 1 species
CCCUCACCAAAUUAGCUUAAUUCUUUUCAUUGUACCCAUUGCUUCUCUUCCUCUUUUCGUCAACGACAAUGGGUAACUUAAUCUCAACCUUCUUACCAGCAGACUUAUUUGAUCGAACUUCAAACUGCGUUGGUGAACAAGCAAAAUAUGUAUGGGGUCUCGAAAAAAAUCUUCGGGUCUUGGAGACUGAAUUGCACAAAUUGACUCGAGCAAGGGCCGAUCUGAAGACCAAGGUUGAGGUCGAAGAACAACGACCUCGAACCAGACGAACGAACCAGGUCGCAGGGUGGCUUGAAGAUGUGCAAAAUCUGGAAACUGAAUUUACCGAGCUGGAACGAGUUAGAGCUCAUGAAAUGGAUAGAUUGUGCCUUGGAGGCCUCUGUUCCAAAAACUUCGUUUCAAGCUACAAUUAUGGGACUCAGGUGGUCGAGUUGACGGAUCGAGUGAUCAAUUUAAAGAAAGAUGGAGAAAAAAUUGAAGUCGUUGUUGAGAAGGCGCCGGAUGGUGCAGCAAUUGAAUUACCUCUUGAUCACACAGUUGUUGGUCAAGAAUUAUUACUUGAUCAAGUUUGGAGAUGUAUCACUGAUCAGGAAAAUAACAGGGGAAUUAUCGGCUUGUAUGGUAUGGGGGGAGUCGGCAAAACUACCCUUUUAAAACAAGUCAACAACAACUUCCGCCAUCAACAGCAUAUUUUUGAUGUUGUUAUCUGGACGGCUGCGUCAACACUUCAAGAUGACAUUGGAAAAAGGAUUGGCUUUUCAGAAGACAGAAACUGGAAGGAAAAAAGUCUUCAAGACAAGGCUGUGGACAUCGCUAGCAUUUUAAGCGGAAAGAAGUUUGUGUUGUUAUUAGAUGAUGUAUGAGAGCGCAUUGAUUUAACAGAAUUGGGUGUCCCUCUUCAAAAACUAAAUGAUGGGUCCAAAGUAGUCUUGACAACUCGUUCAGCUGGUGUUUGCGAUCAAAUGGACGCUGAAAAGUUGGAAGUGUAUAGUUUGGCGCAUGAUAAAGCCUGGGAAUUAUUUCAGGAGAUGGUCGAAAGAUCCACUCUUGACAGUCAUACCAGUAUUCCAGAGCUAGCCGAAACCUUGGCAAGAGAGUGUGGUGGGUUGCCGCUAGCGCUUAAAAUAGUGGGUCGAGCGAUGAAAAGCCAAAGGAAAGUUGGAGAUUGGAAACGUGCAAUUAACAAAAUGAGAACAUCAGCUUCUAAAUUCUCAGGUAUGAAGGAAGAGGUGUUUUCGCGUUUAAAGUUCAGCUAUGAUAGUUUGUCUACGGAUGAACUUCGUUCCUGUCUCCUGUAUUGUUAUUUAUAUCCUGAAGACUACGAAAUUCCUAAAAGGGAAUUGAUUGAUUAUUGGAUUAGUGAAGGAUUUGUGUAUGAUUUUGAUGAUGGAUGCGAUUUUAUUGAUGACCUUCUUCAAGCAUGCUUAUUGGAGGAAGAAGGCGAUGAUCAUGUAAAGAUGCAUGAUAUGAUUCGUGAGAUGUCAUUAUGGAUAGCGUGCACGGUAGACAAGGAGGAGCAGAACUUUCUGGUUCGCGCUGGAGUUAAAUUGACCGAAGCACCAAAGGUUGAAGAAUGGGAAGGUGCCAAACGGAUAUCUCUGACGGCAAAUGGAAUUGGAAGCCUAUCGGAAAUUCCCACGUGUCCACGUCUCGUCACUUUACUUCUGGAUGGAAAUCGGAUUGAGGAGAUUACUGAUGGCUUCUUUCAAUCUCUGUCGACUCUUAGAGUAUUAAGUCUAAGAGGAAAUUUUCCCCCAAGUACACUACCUUCAGGGAUUUCAGGUUUGGUUUCAUUACAUCAUCUUGAUCUUUCUUCGACUGACAUAACUGGGUUGCCGCAAGAGCUGAAGGCAUUGGAGAAGCUGAGAUAUUUGAACUUGGACUAUGCAUUUCAUUUGUCUAUAAUUCCACAUCAAUUGAUAUCUUGUUUUUCAAAGUUGGAGGUACUCAGGUUGUGUGGGUGCGGUCGCUUUGGUGUAAUAAAAGGGAAAGAAGGUAACGUUCUAUGUGAUGGUGCUGAACCUUUGAUGAAGGAAUUGCUGGGUUUGAAGCAUUUAAAUGUUUUAAGCUGGUCCUUCGGAAGUUCACUUGCUGUCCAAAAGUUUUUGAAAUAUCCAAAGCUGGUGAGCAUCACUCAAUCUGUAUGGGUUGAAUGUGGCACGUAUACAAGGCCACCGUUCAAUGUCUUACAUCUGGCAUACAUGGAGAAUCUUCAGGAGUUAGAACUUGAAUCCUGUAAUUUGGAAGAGAUGAAGAUUGACAGCACAGAAGAGGUAAAGAAACUUUUUCGAAAUGGUUUCCGCAAUCUUAACACAGUUGUCCUAAGGUCUUGCAGAGGGAAGGACUUAACGUGGCUUGUUUUUGUUCAAAAUCUCAAGCAGCUAAAUAUGCAGGGUUUUACUAUGGAAGAGAUAAUCAGUGUUGAAAAAUUGAGUGAUAUUUCAGAGGUAAUCGGGUCAGAGCAUAACUUUUUCCCACGACUCGAAUAUCUAACCAUGUGGCGGGGAACAAAUUUAAAGAGCGUUUACCCGAAUCCCCAGCCUUUUCCAAAGCUGAAGAAAAUUCAAGCAUUUCAUUGCCGACAGCUGUAGAAGCUCCCACUCAAUUCCAGCAGCGCGAAGGGACGUCGAGUUGUGAUGACAAUGCUAUAUUUGCUGCAGGACUUGAGUAAAAAUAAAAACAGCAAGAUUUGAUUAUGCUGUCAAUAAAAUCCUGCAAGAUUGUAGGAAAAAAAUUUGUUUUUAAAUUUUAUGAUAUCAGAUAUAUGUUAAAGAUAUGUAGGCAGAUUUUUUGGCUUUGUUUGUUUCUUUUCAUGUAUAAAUUCAAAUACUGCAAUAAUGAAUAAAAUACUGCAAUUAACAGACCCAAUUUCUAUGUGUUCUCUUUUCUUUGUUUAAAACCAACAAGGUGGUAUCAGAGCCCUUAUUCUUAAGGGACUUGUAACGUGAUUAGAGAGGCUUCCUACACUUCAAUAUGGCAGGAAAUGGUUUCUUAUCUGCUCCUCCAGUUUUCACAGGUGAAAAUUAUCAAAUAUGGGCUGUGAAAAUGGAAUCUUACUUGGAUGCAUGUGACCUAUGGGACUUGGUGGAAGCAGAUCCAGAGGAUCCACCAUUAGCUCAUAUGAGGAAUAACAGGGAUGAAAGAAAAUGGAGAUAUAAGGCCAAGACAUGCAUUCACUCUGCAGUUUCGGAGACAAUUUUUACAAAGAUCAUGACUUGUGAAACAACGAAACAGGCAUGGGAUCUUUUGAAACAAGAAUAUCAGGGGAACGUCAGGACAAAACAAAUGCAGGUCCUGAACCUGAGAAGGGAAUUUGAAAUGUAGAAAAUGAAGGAGACAUAAACAGUUAAUGACUAUAAAGACAAGUUGAUGAUGAUUGCCAAUAAAAUUAGAAUGCUUGGGGAAGAGUUUUCUGAUAGAAGGAUUGUAGAGAAGAUUUUGGUGACCUUGCCUCAGAGAUUUGAAUCUAAAAUCUCUUCACUUGAAGAGUCCAGAGAUAUGUCAACAAAGGAGAGCUUACAGAAAGGAGGAGAUAGUUGAAGGAGCAUUUCAAGUGAAAGAGGCUGAUCAAGCUCAGGGAGGCAGCAAAGAAAAGAAACAGUGGAGUAAGAAGAUUUACAAGAAGGGGGAAAGUAGCAUCAAUGAAGGCAACAAGGGCAAGCACUCCCCGUGUCCUCACUAUAAGAAAACCUCUCAUCCGCAAAAGAAAUGUUGGUUUAGGCCUGACAUUCAAUGCAGGGCAUGCAAGCAAAUUGGGCAUAUGGAGAGGGUGUGUAAAAACAAACAGCAAGAAGGACAUCAAGCUCAAGCAGCAGAACAACAACAGGAUGAACAACUUUUUGUUGUAUCUUGUUUUUCGAGUAACAGUUCGAGUGAUGAUUGGCUCAUCGACAGCGGAUGCACAAAUCACAUGUCUUUUGAUGAAUCUCUUUUCAAAGAAGUAAACAAGUCAGAAGUGUCAAGAGUUAAAGUUGGCAAUGGGCAGUAUAUUGAAGUGAAAGGUAAAAGGACAGUUGCAAUAAAAAGCUCAGCAGGUAUCAAGUUAAUUUCUGAUGUAUUACUUGUUCAUAAAAUUGAUCAAAAUCUACUGAGUGUGGGACAAUUGCUUGAGAAAGGUUAUUCUGUUGAAUUUAAGAAUAACAUGUGUGUCAUUACUGACCCAAAUGGUGUAGUGUUGUUCUCUGUGAAAAUGAAUAGCAAAAGCUUCAGCUUAAGUUGGAACAAGGAUGAAUGUAGUGCAUAUCAAUGUACUUUGAACCAGGCUGAGUUAUGGCACAAGCGGAUGGGGCAUUUUCAUUAUUCUGCAUUAGAUUACAUGCAGAAAAAUGAUCUUGUGCAAGGAAUGACUUUCAAUGGAGGAGGAGCAUCAGUGUGUAGAGUCUGUCAGCUGGGAAAACAAGCUAGAUUGCUAUUCCCUGUUAAUAAGGCAUGGAGAGCAGUUGAGAAGCUUCAGUUAAUCCACACAGAUGUUUGUGGACCUAUGAGGACUGCAUCCUUAAAUGGUAAUAGGUACUUCAUGGUUCUUAUUGAUGAUUUUAAUAGAAUGUGUUGGAUUUACUUUCUCAAACAAAAAUCUGAAGUUGCUAGUGUAUUUUGGAAGUUUAAAAAAUGGAUUGAAAAUCAAAGUGGUUGUAAAAUCAAGGUGAUUAGAUCUGAUAAUGGGACUGAAUAUACAGCUGAUAAAUUUGCUAAGUUUUGUGAAGCUGCAGGGAUUGAACAUCAGCUUACAACAACCUAUACACCUCAACAAAAUGGAGUCAGUGAGAGGAAAAACAUGACAGUCAUGGAGAUGGCUAGAUGUUUGUUGUUUGAGAAGGAAAUGCCAAAAAUGUUUUGGGCUGAGGAUGUUAAUACUGCUGUAUUUCUGCAAAACAAGUUACCAACAAAGGCUUUAAAGGGAAAAACACCUUUUGAAGCUUGGUUUGGUUUUAAACCCUCUAUUCAUAACUUGAGAAUUUUUGGUUGCAUGUGUUUUACUCAUGUUCCAGAUGCAAAAAGAGAGAAGUUGGAUCAAAAGGCAGAAUAUGGAGUUUUUGUAGGAUACAACACUCUCACCAAAGGUUAUAGAGUUUAUCAACCUUUGACGGGAAGAAUCAUAGUGAGUAGAGAUGUUAAAUUUGAUGAAACUGGAGGAUGGAAUUGGGCAACAGCUGAACCAAAGCAAGUUUAUGCAGAAGAAAAAACAUCAGAAUUGCAAGAUGAUGAUAUAAUUGAUGAUGAACCAAUAAGAGGUACCAGACCACUUAUAGAAAUUUAUCAAAAGUGCAAUAUGGUUGUGCUUGAACCUGCAGGUUAUAAUGAGGCUGCUAAAGAUCCAAAGUGGCUUGAACCAAUGGAAGAUGAGAUCAAGAUGAUUCACAAGAAUCAAACUUGGGAGUUGGUGGACAGACCACUACACAAGAAAACUAUUGGUGUGAAAUGGGUUUAUAGAACCAAACUCAAUGCUGAUGGUUCUGUAAACAAAUUCAAAACAAGGCUAGUUGUAAAAGGGUAUGCUCAACUAUUUGGUGUUGACUUUUCUGAAACGUUUGCACCUGUAGCAUGGCUGGACACCAUCAGAUUGCUUUUAGCACUUGCAGCACAAAAGCAGUGGAAAAUCUACCAGCUUGAUGUUAAAUCAGCUUUUUUAAAUGGCUAUUUGGAUGAAGAAAUCUUUGUUGAGCAACCUGAGGGUUUUGUUGCAGAUCUGAAGAAAGUAUAUUUGUUAAAAAAAGGCAUUAUAUGGCUUGAAGCAGGCUCCAAGAGCUUGGUACAGCAGGAUUGAUGAUCAUUUGCUGAACAUAGGCUUCAACAAGAGCAUGAGUGAAUCAACUUUGUAUAUUCAAGUAAUUAAUCAUGAAUUGAUUGUUGUUUCACUUUAUGUUGAUGAUUUUCUUGUCACAGGAAGCAAUGAAGAAUUAGUGAAGCAAUUUAAGGUUCAAAUGAUGCAAGCAUUUGAAAUGACUGAUCUAGGAGAGAUGACUUUCUUUUUAGGUCUGGAGAUUCAAAAGUCACAGCAAGGGAUCUUCAUUGGACAGCAAAAAUAUGCUAAAGAAGUGCCAAAGAAAUUCAACAUGGAGGAUUGCAAGUCAGUAUGUACUCCUUUAGCUCAAAAUGAGAAAUUUAGUAAAGAUGAUGGUGCUGAAAAGAUUGACGAAGCAUUAUAUAGGAGUAUUAUAAGUUGCUUGAUGUAUUUGACAGCAACAAGACCUGAUAUAAUGUUUGAUGUAAGUUUGCUGUCCAGAUAUAUGCAUUGUGCAAGUGAAUUGCACUACAAAGCUGCUAAAAGGGUGCUCAGGUAUAUCAAGGGAACUUUGGAUCAUGGAAUAAAAUUUGAGAAGGAAGACAAGCUGAUUUUGCAUGGUUUUGCUGAUAGUGAUUGGGCAGGAUCCUGUGAUGAUAUGAGGAGCACGUCAGGCUACUUGUUUAGUCUUGGUUCAAGUUGUUUCUGUUGGAGUUCAAAGAAGCAGGAAAUCGUAGCUCAGUCUACUGCUGAGGCUGAGUAUGUUGCAGCUGCUGCUGCAGUCAAUCAAGCCUUAUGGCUAAGGAAGCUUAUGACAGAUUUGAAAAUGAUUCAGGAUUAUGCAACUGAAAUCUUUGUUGAUAAUCAAGCUGCCAUAGCAAUUUCUAACAAUCCAGUGUUCCAUGGGAAGACAAAGCAUUUCAAAAUUAAAGUAUUAUUUUGUUAGAGAAGUCCAGAAGAAUGAUGAAGUAAGGCUCGUGUAUUGCAAGACUGAAGAUCAGCUAGCUGACAUUUUGACAAAGGGACUGUCAAAGUCAAGAUUUGAGUUGUUGAAGAAAAGAAUUGGUGUCUGCAGCAAAAAUAGCAAGGAGGAGUGAUGACAAUGCUAUAUUUGCUGCAGGACUUGAGUAAAAAUAAAAAUAGCAAGAUUUGAUUAUGCUGUCAAUAAAAUCCUGCAAGAUUGUAGGAAAAAAAUUUGUUUUUGAAUUUUAUGAUAUCAUAUAUAUGUUAAAGAUAUGUAGGCAGAUUUUUUGACUUUGUUUGUUUCUUUUCAUGUAUAAAUUCAAAUACUGCAACAAUGAAUAAAAUACUGCAAUUAACAGCCUCAAUUUCUUUGUGUUCUCUUUUCUUUGUUUAAAACCAACAAAUUGUCAUCGAGGGAACGAAAAAAUGGUGGGAAGAGCUACAAUGGGAGGAUCAAGCCACCCAAAAUGCUUUCUUUUCCUGUGCCGUACUUUGGGAGGAUCCUUAUUAUUAAUAUGUUUGAAUAUGUAUUUCCUUUUUCUUUUUUUUCUUGCUAUAGAGUUGCAUGAUUGUGAUGAUCCUUAUUAUUAUUAUCCUUUUUUUUUUUCACAUGAAGUUCAGUAACUACUUCCGAGAUUAAUAAGAUCCAACUCGUUUUUGGUUUAGUCAAAAACUUUUUGUGGCUCUAAAUCCUUUUUAACACCAGGCCAGGCAUCCACAAAUAUAUUGACACCAUUUUAUUUAUUGAUGUUUAUAUAACUGAAUUGAUUACAAAUUACCCUUUUUGUCCAGUGUGUUCAGAAUAUACUCUGCACAACUAACACAAAAAUAAACAUGUAACAUACUAAUCGUUUAUGUUAAUUUAUGGAGGCCUUAUUGUCCAAGGCAUAUGUAAAACCAUUUCACAUUCGGCAUUGUAAUGUUUAUGGACGGAUUUAAAUGAUGUCACACAAAGUCACAAAUAGUUAAAAAAAAGAAGGUGUUUGUUUUAAAAUGUUGGCAUAUUUAUGGAGUGGGAACUCAGAUGCUGAACUCUGAAUGGGCUGGAAUCGGAAUGGGUUAGAAUCGGAAUGAGCCGGAAUGAGAAUGGGGAAUGAGAGUCAAAAUAAGUUGUUUAUUUGAACUGUAGGAAUCGAAAUCGGAAUGAGUUAGAACCCCAUUAAUGUGUUUACUUUAUCUAAGAAUCGAAAUCGGAAUAAGUUAAGUUGUUUUAAGUUACUAAAACACCCUUAGUUGUUAAUAAUAAUAAUAAUAGUUGUCCUUUGGUAUUAAUGAUAAUAAUAAUAAAUUUAAUAAUAACAUUAUAAAUAAAUAAAUAAUAGUAAUAAUUAAUGAUAAUAAUGAAAUUAAAUAACAACUACUAAUACUACAAUAAUAAUAAUAAUAAUAAUAAUAAUAAUAAUAAUAAUAAUAAUAAUAAUAAUAAUAAUAAUAAUAAUAAUAAUAAUAAUAAUAAUAACAACAACAACAACAACAUUAAUAACAAAUAAGCAAACAAUGAAAUAAUACAAACACCAAUCUACAUAAUUUUAAUGUACAAUAAGUGGCCGAACAAUAUAAGAAAUUAAUAAUUUAAAAUAUAAAAUUAUAAUUCCCAAAACAAACAUUGUGCUCCUCUUCACCGGAUGUAGCAGAUCGCGACGAAAAAUGGCGGCAGGAUGAGCGCGACCACGGUGGCAACAGAUCGAUCGGGACCACGGCGGCAGAUCGUGACGAACGAAAGCAGCAGAUCGCAGCCUUUUGACACCCCCUCGAAGACCCUCCUUUAAAUUCCUUAUAACUCUUUAAUUAAAAUUAUUUAAAUAAUUAAAGAUAAAUUAAUUCCAUUUUAUUUUGAUGGAAAAUUUAAUUAAUACUUAAAUAAAAUUAUUCUUUUAACAUUUUUCCACCCACCUCAUUUCAUAUAUAUAUAUAUAUAUAUAUAAUUUUUAGAAACUUUUAAUAAUUUAUAAUCUUUUUAAGGUGAAAUUUAAUGAGAAGAUUAUUAAUUUUAAUUUAUGGAUUAGUAUUUUAUAAAUUAAACCAAGGUACUUUGAUAAAUAAAAAUUAAAACAAGUUUUAUAAGGAUUUUGGAGUGUACGAAUUCAGAAUAUAGAUUUUCAUGGGGACGUUGAAUAUGCUGAAGCUGAAGCUAUGAAUUUUAGAAUAAAAAUGGCAAUAGACUUUGGUUUAAUGCCAUUAAUUGUUGAAUCAGACUCGAAUACUAUUUUAAACUUGGCGAAAGGUUUUGAAAGAAGUAUGAAAGAAAUAUCAUGGUUAAUUUUCGAGAUUCGAAAUUGUAUGGUUGUGAAAGACCACUUCGAAAUCAAUCUUACAUAGAGAAGUAGUAGUGAGACCACUCAUAAAUUAGAUAAAUAUGAUGUUAACAAUUCAGGCUGUGUAAUUUGGUUGGAGGAAAUUUCAACUCAUGUAAGUCUUUUUCCUUUAAGCGAUUAAUUGAAGUUUUCCAUUUCCAAAGAGAGAUAGAGAGAGAGAGAGAGCUCAACUCAAAUGAAAGUACGAAACAAAGAGUAAAUCCUGAUAGUAGAAAAAUGAGCCAUGAGUAGAACUAUUCGCACCUUUGAAAGCCCUCAUAAAAAUCUUUCUUCAAUAUGUCCCGCUAAAUCAUUUAAAAAAUAAUAUUAUUUCUAAGGGCAGAGCUAUUUGCACUCUAAAAAUUAUUCUCAACGUUUUAUUACUAUAUACACAUAUUUAUUAAUUUAAAAAAAUGAACUAUAUUUUGUACAACUAUGAUGCCACUUCCACCUCCAAUUGAAUGUCAGAAAAUUCAAAGUUUGUCAAAAGAGGAUGGUAAAUUAAGCCCCCUUUUUUUUUUAAUCUGGAUUUGGUUGAACAUUUUUAUGUCGCAAAAAUGUUUGCUGUGUUGUAAUGCCUAAGUGUUGCAGACUAGUUUGUAAGAGUCUGAAUAAUUGUCCAUGUUACUCUGGUAUUGUGGAAUGCCAUGUAUUUUUUGGCCAAAAGAAAAAAUCAAGCAACCAAUGUAAACUUGUUUAAUAUCAUCAUAAUAUAACUGAAAAAGAAGUAAUUAUAGUCAUACAAAAAAAAUUAAUAAUUGUCAUGUCCUUAAUAAUAAUUUAUAUCAUAAAUAUUAUUGAAAUAAUUUUUUUUUAUAAAAUUAUCAGUGUUUAGUGUAAUUUUUAGAGUGUAUAUAGCCUCAUUCUAUUUCUAAACCCACAUAAGUUGAUUCCAAAAACACCCUUGGCUUACACACCAACCCCAUUUUCACAUUUUCUUCGUCUUGGGGAGCUUGAAACCCAAAUCUGAUGGCUUCAACUUUCGAAUAAUCAUUAUCUCCAUUAGAACUUAUAAUUUUAAAAGCUAUUUCCAUAAUAUUUUCAUUAGAAUUUCUUAUAACAACAUCCAACAUUGGUUAUUGAUAUUUUAAGGUUUCAUCUUAAAUAAUAAUAACAAAAUAAUUAAAAUUUUAUCAAAAUUUAAGGAAAUACAUUGUACUUUGAUAAACAAGGAAUGUCAACUAAAUAUCGUCAAAAUAAAUAAUAAAUUUUUAAGUCGAGUUUUGGUUUCACAUAAUUGUAAUUAUGGAGACUAGUUAUUCGAAUAAAAUUUAAUUUCUUCUGUUUAUCAUUGUAACUUUACAUAGGGACAAUUGCAUGAUUAUAAAGGCAGGGUUUGAUAAGGAUUUUUUGGAGGUACCAAUAGGACCACUCAUGAGCCAUGACAAAAUUAAGCCCAUGCGAGGCCCACCUAAUCCAUUUUUACAUUUAGCCAAUUAGCCUGAAGAAUAAGACGAUAAUAAACAGUAAGCCUAAAUAAUAAGAUGAUAUGAAAGUAAGAAUAAGGUUAAGAUACCAAUUUUUUAGUCUUAACUUCUUAAGUCUUAAGUCUUAAUGUAACAUGUCAUUCAUUUAUUAGACGAUAAAUUUCAUAACUUGUAAAAUUAUUUAACCACCAUCCAAUAAAUGAUUGUCAUAUCUAUUGAAAUUUAAAUUUAAAUUUUAGAAUACUUAGCAUUGAGCUGAAUCUAAACGAUUUUAUUUUCUAUUAUUUUUAUUUUAUUUUAAUUUUUUUUCACAAUCGGAUUUUUCUUUGAGACAAUAGAAAGCCUUUUGGCUUUAAGUUUCUGAAAACCAAUAAUAAAAAAUUAUCCAUGAGUUUCUGAAAACCAAUUAACUUCAAAAUCUCUUCCAGCGCUAGGAGGAACAUCUUCAAUAACUUUUUCAUGACCUUUUGGGUAAUAAAUCCCAGUUCUUUCAUGAGGAACCCAGCUACAAUUCCCUUCAUUUUCUCCCACAUUAUUAUUCAUCUGCUGGCUCCUCAUCACAUUUCCUUCUUCCGCAUUGGAUUUCAAUGCUGUUUCUCUUAUCAUAUCAUUAGAACUUGCUUUCUUUUGAAAGGAUUUCCUCAUUAUUGGCCUAUAUGUUUCAAAAAGACUUAACAAAUUAAUAAUGUAAAAACAAAGACUAAAAUAUUCAAACACUCAAAUGAAUGAAAGUAAUCUCUUUUUAUUAUUGCGUGGACAGUGGCGAAAUCAGGAUUUUGGAUGUCAUCAAUAAUAGAGAAACAACAAAUUUUAAGUAGGUUAUAACACAAGAAUAUAAACAUAUGGGGGCUACAAAAUAAAAUUAUCAGACAUAAGGAUAAAUUUAAUUGAAGACUUUCAUAUUUCUUGAUAAUGUUUUUUAACCUGAGUCCCCUGUGGAGACAUAUUGAUUCAGUUAAUAAAACAUUUAAUUCUAUGUACUUAACCAACCACUCAUAAUUAGUAAUUACAUAAUUUGAAACUAUUAGGCCUAUUUCGAACGAACUGUUUCAUAACAAAAUUAAUUUAGAUAAAGUGAAAAGAUUUAUUUACAAACAUACCAUGCAAUAAUGAAGUGCGAUUGUCAAAAUGAAAUGAUGAAAUAGCAAAGUAGAUAGAUAAAAACAUGGAGUUAAAGGUGGGAGCUCCUCUAGCAAAUGAUCCUGUCAUCUUUUUCUUCUUUUUUCUCUCACUUUCUCUCUUUCCAAACAAUGUGGGUGGAAUGAAUUGAAUUAUGAUUUAGAUAGAGAGCUCUUUACAUAGUGAAGUUAAAUAAGAGAAUAUUGUUAUCUAUUUCUCUCAUCUCUAGGGAGAUCGUUUAUUGUACGUCAUUUUCUGUUUGGAUAAAUAUUAAAUUAUAACACUCUUUCUUGAUCAUUGGGGAGCACUCAUUGCAGAGCAUGGCCUUCUUUUGUUCCCUUUUGUUUUGUUUUUGUUUUUUAGUCAUCUAAGUUAUGGGACAUGGCUUGUGGACUCAGCUUUUAGAAACUUUCCCUAGAUAAGUAGUUGAAUCUAGGGGAGGUACUUUUUAGUUUUAUAAGUGACAUUGAUUCACCUCAUGAUUAGUGGCCAGAGAGAAUAAUUACGAAAAAAAAAUUUUAAUUGUUAAUUAAUUUUGUUGAAUAUAUUAAAAUAGCCAAGUUAAAUUUAUAAAAAUAGUUUCAUAAACUCUUAAAUCCAUAAAAUUUUAAUUUUGAGGAUUACAAAAACCACACUUUAACAGAUAUACAAAAAGAUUGUAAAGAUAUAAGAUGAGUCGUUAAUAAUUGCACGUGCAAACAUCGUAUAUUCUUUAUAAUUAAUUGUGCAGAUUUUCAUGACCAAUGCACCAGAUUUUGAUGACCAAUGCACCUGGGUGCGAAAACAAAAAUUAGAACAAAAUAUAUUAAUAAGGGAAGGCCACUCUUUUGUCAAUAUAUAUAUAUAUAUAUAUAUAUAUAUAUAUAUAUAUAUAUAUAGAGUUUGUUAUAAAAGAUUACCUCAGUAUCAAACUCUCCCGAUUCAACAUUGACAUUGAUGACAGUGAAAAUCUUUACAAGAUCCACCAAUAAUCCAGGUCGAUCAGCCGUCUCCACCAAAAGCAAACUUCAAUAAAACAAAAGGUAAACUAAACAAAAAUAGUAAGGACCAAAUUAUCUGACUACUUCAGUUAUGGGCAGGAAUUGCCACUUGGGCUGGAGUAUGAGUAGUAAUAAUGUGGGACCAAAGUUUGGUGGAUAGCAAAAGCCCCAUCAUCUAGAUAAGAGAAUGAAUUAUGCAUUGCCUUCGGUUGGGGCCAUCAUCAUAGAUGCUUAUGUGGGUUGCUAUGUCCACAUCAACCUGACAAAUUCCAGCACAACAAGAUUUGAGACAAGAUUGAAGUGGGACGUUAUCCUUCCCAUAAUAACUCAUAUACGUAGUUUUUAACAUUCACAACAUGAUAUUAAUUUCAAUGGCAGGCAAAUUGAAUAUAAUGUCUUUAAAGAAAAUGAGGAUAAAAGUGAAGUAAUAUUUGGCCUAAGAGAACUCUAAAACAACUUAGUUUCCUAUUCAAAUGAUCACUAGUGAGAAGAGCCAAAAAUAUCAAUAAUCUGAAAAAUCAAAAUAAGACCAGAAAGCAAAAACCUGUUGUUUUGGAGGAUCAACGCCAAAGGCAACACCCAUUGCCAACUGGGAACUUGAUUCCUGAUUCCAUCACCAACACAAAUGGAAUAAGCUUUUGAAUAAGACAAUUCCUACAGGUGCUCCACCAAGUGAUAUCUCAAGAGAGACAAAAAAAAAUGAUUACCGGGUGAUACUGAAGUAGAUUGUUUAUAACUGUCAAACAAAUUGCCUCAAGCACCUCAGGAUCAUCAACUUUCCUACCAGUAUCACCGCACACAAGCAUCAUGACCAAAUUAAUCAAAACCACAGUGGGAAUCUAUUGCAAGAACUGCUCCAAAAAACACCGAUGGCUCUUUGGAUCAUUGAUUUUAGGUUCUAGUAUGUCCAAAAUUUUAACGAUUUCAACAUUAGUGAUAAACAUCUAUUUGCAACAGACUGAUCAUACUUGUAUAUGGAGCAUCACAAGUAGGUAUUUACUAUGCUCAUCAAAUAUAGACCAGAAGACGUUGACAACAAUUAAAGGGUAUUAGUGAAUGAAACUGCAAGCAGAGAAUACAAAUCAGCUCAGUAAUGCAAGGGCAUGAAAAGCAAAAUGCAUAUGCAUCACAAAAUUAUAGAGAUAUAUAAUUUCGCAGUCAUAUGAUGAUAUUGCAGCGGUGAAGCCGUGCGUGAGGUUAAGGCAAGCGAUGGAAUGACUUGCGUUACAAAAGAGGUAUUUGCAAUGAUUGUGUACUGGACGGAAAUUGAAUCCAUGUUUAAGAAUUUACCGCCGGGGAAAAAAUGUCAAUACAAAGUCAAUGCGAACGAAUAGUGAAGUCAGCAGUCGCAAAGGCAAAGUUCUUAACCAGAUGGACUCCAGAUAGAUUAGCGGUGGCAGUUUCACAGCUGACAGAUGAACAAAGAAUGGCUGCUUGUCAAAUGGGCUUUGGUAGUUUUCUACAACUGAACCGUGGCAAGCUAAAAAGGAAACUUUGUGGCUAGUUAAUUGAGAUGAUUGAUACUUUGAGGUACAUUUUAGAGUUGAAUGGUAUUAGCUUUCGAACAAGAUCAUCAAAGAAACUCCACCAACCAGGAAAUUUAGACUUAAUCUAUGCUCUGCAAAUUCAUAUACUCUCUAAUAUGAAACUACUUUUAUGUGUUUUGUUAUUCCGACUUGGUAACGUUGUUAUGGAAGCCUGACAACUAUUAUGUCCGUGCAAUUUUUAUUGUAUCUUUUGUUAUGUCAUGAUAUCGAAGCUUGGUUUUCUGACUCCAACUACUAAGAACUGCAGUUGCAGCAUCUUUUGAAUAUUACAUAUGUGCUUGUAGUGUCUCCACGGAUUAAAAUCUGCUAUUUAAGUUCUUCUACCGCCCCCGCUUCUUCUUUCAUUUAUACUUGCUGCACCAUUUACUUCACACUCUGUAAAGCCAUAUGAAAGCUUGUUCAUUUAUGUUCACUUGCAAUUCAAAAGCAGUGUUUAUUUCAACUGUCAAAUUGACUACUUGCACGUAUUGAUUUCAGUCGAAACAAGGUUAUUGGUCGAUCCAGAAAUUGAAUCCAUAUGGCCAUUCCAGCAUCAUUCAACCACCUAAUUUCAAAUAUAUAAAUUAAUUCAACCCACUUAAGUGAUCAAAGGCGUGGAACAAAUCAUGAAAGAUUUUUCAGCUAUCAUAAAUUCGAACGGAUGUAGUUUGUAUUCUUUCAGGCUUAGACAGAUUUUUUGCAACAUAAACUUGUAUGUAAUGUACAUUUUUUUGUUCCUUACAAAUUAAUUGCUGCUAAAAUAAUUGUUUCGACCAAUAUUUAUUGUUAUAAUAGAGAAACCUUUUCUUGCAACUCAAACAGUUCCGAUGGCAUGAUCUGCAUCCCCUGUUUGCCUCUUGGGCUGCACGAUCUUGCUCCUUUUCAUCAAACGGCAACUUCGCUGCAGACAAAAAGAGGGGGUACAGUGCGCAGGGGCACCGUAGAUGUAGCCCAAAAAGAUGAUUUUGUCCCUCCAUGUCUAAGUAUUUUAACCAAAAAAUAAUAAUAAUUCCUUACAUCAUCAAUGAUUGCACUUGUAAAUCUAAGGGAUUAGAAUUCUGUAUUGAAUUUAUAUUUUAUUAAAUAAAAAAUUAAUGUUAAUUUUUUUUUUUUUUUAUCUAGCUAUCAUUGACUUUAUAUUUUGGAUCUUCAUCCAGAAUUAAGGCACAAAAUUUUUGUUCUAAAUAAAUAUUCUCAAUAUAAAUUUAUCACUUAAAUAAUAAUGAUAAGAUUUAAUAUUAAUUCUAUCAUUACUGAAAUGGAUUACAAAUUUUAUAUGACUUGUAAACGUAUCAUUAUGUUCUUGAUAUUUGAAACAUGAAUCAAGCAACAUAUGUAGCAUAUUUUUAUUUCAGUGUCGUGCUUCUCUAAAAAUUGUUGAAAGCAGAAGCCAAGCUGGCAUGCCUCCUGAGCUGGUGUGGUAGGUGAGUUGGAUUUGUUGAGCUGGCAAAUGAAAUUAUUUAUGAUGAUGCUGUGAAUUUAAUUGUCGUAUAAUGUUUGUGUAGAAUUAAGAAUGGAAGACAAUGUCGAUGAUGACAAGAAGAAUAGCAGCGCAUGUGAAUUGAAUAGUUGCAUCUUCUAGAAGCUUAAUGUGAUUGGUUCACAAUUGAAUUGAAUAGUUGCAUCUGCUAAUGAAGAAUAGCAGCGCAUGUGAAUUGAAUAGUUGCAUCUUCUAGAAGUUUGUCUCUGUAUGCAAACUAGCAAAGCUCUGUAUUUCAUUUUCAUUCAAGUCAUCAUAAUCAAUAAAGGCCUGAUUCUCAUACUCUGUUUGCAUUUGAAAGCAAUUCUUAAGAAUUUAAGUAAAAUGACCCUCACCAAAUUAGCUUAAUUCUUUUCAUUGUACCCAUUGCUUCACUUCCUCUUUUCGUCAACGACAAUGGGUAACUUAAUCUCAACCUUCUUACCAGCAGACUUAUUCGAUCGAACUUCAAACUGCGUUGGUGAACAAGCAAAAUAUGUAUGGGGUCUCGAAAAAAAUCUUCGGGUCUUGGAGACUGAAUUGCACAAAUUGACUCGAGCAAGGGACGAUCUGAAGACCAAGGUUGAGGUCGAAGAACAACGACCUCGAACCAGACGAACGAACCAGGUCGCAGGGUGGCUUGAAGAUGUGCAAAAACUGGAAACUGAAUUUACCGAGCUGGAACGAGUUAGAGCUCAAGAAAUGGAUAGAUUGUGCCUUGGAGGCCUCUGUUCCAAAAACUUCGUUUCAAGCUACAAUUACGGGACUCAGGUGGUCGAGUUGACGGAUCGAGUGAUCAAUUUAAAGAAAGACGGAGAAACAAUUGAAGUCGUUGUUGAGAAGGCGCCGGAUGGUGCAGCAAUUGAAUUACCUGUUGAUCACACGGUUGUUGGUCAAGAACGAUUACUUGAUCAAGUUUGGAGAUGUAUCACUGAUGAGGAAAAGAACAGGGGAAUUAUCGGCUUGUAUGGUAUAGGGGGAGUCGGCAAAACUACCCUUUUAAAACAAGUCAACAACAACUUCUGCCAUCAACGGCAUAUUUUUGAUGUUGUUAUCUGGGCGGCUGUGUCAACACUUCAAGAUGACAUUGGAAAAAGGAUUGGCUUUUCAGAAGCCAAGUACUGGAAGGAAAAAAGUCUUCAAGCUAAGGCUGUGGACAUCGCUGGCAUUUUAUGCCGAAAGAAGUUUGUGUUGUUAUUGGAUGAUAUAGGGGAACGGAUUGAUUUAACACAAUUGGGUGUCCCUCUUCAAAAACUAAAAGAUGGGUCCAAAGUAGUCUUGACAACUCGUUCAGCUGGUGUUUGCGAUCAAAUGGACGCUGAAAAGGUGGAAGUGUAUAGUUUGGCGCAUGAUAAAGCCUGGGAAUUAUUUCAGGAGAUGGUCGAAAGAUCCACUCUUGACAGUCAUACCAGUAUUCCAGAGCUAGCCGAAGCCUUGGCAAGAGAGUGUGGUGGGUUGCCGCUAGCGCUUAAAACAGUGGGUCGAGCCAUGAAAAGCCAAAGGAGAGUUGGAGAUUGGAAACGUGCAAUUAACAAAAUGAGAACAUCAGCUUCUAAAUUCUCAGGUAUGAAAGAAGAGGUGUUUUCGCGUUUAAAGUUCAGCUAUGAUAGUUUGUCUACGGAUGAACUUCGUUCCUGUCUCCUGUAUUGUUGUUUAUACCCUGAAGACUACAAAAUUCCUAAAAGGGAAUUGAUUGAUUAUUGGAUUAGUGAAGAAUUUGUGUGUGAUUUUGAUGGUGGAUGCGAUUUUAUUGAUGACCUUCUUCAUGCAUGCUUAUUGGAGGAAGAAGGCGAUGAUCAUGUAAAGAUGCACGAUAUGAUUCGUGAGAUGUCAUUAUGGAUAGCGUGCACGGUAGACAAGGAGGAGCAGAACUUUCUGGUUCGCGCUGGAGUUGAAUUGACCGAAGCACCAAAGUUUGAAGAAUGGCAAGGUGCCAAACGGGUAUCUCUGAUGGGAAAUGGAAUUAGGAGCUCAUCGGAAAUUCCCACGUGUCCGCGCCUCGUAACUUUACUUCUUUCAAUCGAUGUCUUCUCUUAGAGUAUUAAGUCUAAGAGGAAAUUUUCCCCUAAGAACACUACCUUCAGGGAUUUCAGGUUUGGUUUCAUUACAUCAUCUUGAUCUAUCAUCGACUAACAUAACUGGGUUGCCGCAAGAGCUGAAGGCGUUGGAGAAGUUGAGAUAUUUGAACUUGGACUAUACACGGUUUUUGUCUAUAAUUCCACAUCAAUUGAUAUCUGGUUUUUCAAAGUUGGAGGUACUCAGGUUGCUUUCACGCGGUCGCUGGAGCGUAAUAGAAGGUAACGUUCUAUGUGAUGAUGCUGAACCUUUGAUGAAGGAAUUGCUGGGUUUGAAGCAUUUAAAUGUUUUAAGCUGGACCUUCCGAAGUUCACUUGCUGUCCAAAAGUUUUUGAAAUAUCCAAAGCUGGUGAGCAUCACUCAAUCUGUAAUGGUUUGCCAAUGUGAAAGUCCACCGUUCAAUGUCUUACAUCUAGCAUACAUGGAGAAUCUUCAGGAGUUACGCAUUUCAGACAGUAAUUUGGAAGAGAUGAAGACUGACAGCACAGAAGAGGUAAAGAAACUUUUUCAAAGUGGUUUCCGCAGUCUCGACAGAGUUGUCAUAUGGAGUUGCCAAAAAAUGAAAGACUUAACGUGGCUAGUUUUUGUUCAAAUUCUCAAGCAGCUGCGUAUAGUCUUUUGUACAGAAAUGGAAGAAAUAAUUAGUGUUGAUAAAUUGAGAGAUAUUUCGAAGAUAAUCGGGUCAGAGCAUAACUUUUUUGCACAACUCGAAUCUCUAACCAUAAAGUGGGGAAGAAAUUUAAAGAGCGUUUACCCGAAUCCCCUGCCCUUUCCAAAGCUGAAGAAAAUUGAAGUACGUGAAUGCCCACAGCUGAAGAAGCUCCCACUCAAUUCCAGCAGCGCGAAGGAACGUCGAGUUGUCAUCGAGGGGUCGAAAAAAUGGUGGGAAGAGCUACAAUGGGAGGACCAAGCCACCCAAAAUGCUUUCUCUUCCGGUGUCGUACUUGGGGAUGAUUUUCAUUAAUAUGUUUGAAUAUGUAUUUCUUUUCUUUUUCUUUUUUUUUUUAAUUUUCAUUAGAUUUAAUUGCAUCUUGUUGUUGUUGUCUGGUGUGUCAAUCGUUAUCUAUUUUCAGUUAAUAAAAUUUCAGCAGUGGAUUCUUGGUUUUAGAAUCCUCCCACUGGAAAGAAUUUCUCCUUUGGCUUGAAUGCGACCUUUUUACUCGUCGACAAAAUUGUAUUUGUCGCUUAAGUCUUGUUUGUUUUAAAAUGCUGGCAUAUUUAUAGAGUGGGAACUCAGAUGCUGAACUCAUAGUAAAUAUUUAUUUAAUUUGUUAUAAUUAUAUUUGGUGAGAUAUUUAUUCAAUAAUUGCCCUAUCACUUUGUGCAUGAUCACAGAAUUUUGUACUUCCGUCUGUGAAAUAACUUUUGGAAAAGGAAAUUAAUUUUUUUAAGUAACGGUAAAUAUUUUAAAUUUUUAUUUUAAAUUUUAUUUUAAAUAAUAUAGUAUGUAAUGUGUCAUUUAUUUAGUGAUUGAUAAUUUAAUAUAGGAUUUAAAUAAAUUAAUUAUGCUAUUUUAUUAUUUAAUUAAUAAAUAUUAUAUAAUUUAAAAUAGAUUUUUGAGAUAAAAAUUAUAAAAGUAAAAUUCUACUCAACAGACUAAAUUUAAAAUGAUGUGAUUGGCAGGUAAGACUUAAGAAUUAGACAAAAUUUCUCAUUCAACAGCUUGUAGAAAAUUUAUACACUAGGCCUUAGCUAAACUUGGACUUGUCGUAUGUUUGAAGUAUUCGACGAUAAUCAUAUCUGCAUUUUUAUUUUAUUUUUUAUUUUUGGUUUGUUUAGGGCUUUUCAUCGGUUUUCGUCUUGGUCUUUGUCCUGGUCUUGGCGUCUUGCUAUCAAAUCAAGUGUUCUCUUCUCCUAUCCUCUAAUGAAAGUGCAGGGCCUCAACUAUUUGUUACUGCUAUCACUUUAGAGGUUGAUGCUAAUGUCCGAAGGUCACGUUUAAUUUGCUUGAAUGUGACCUUUACUUUGGUUGACAAAAUUGUGAUUGUCACAAAGAACAAACUAUAAAAGUGCAGUUUAAAUCGAACACUGAAUUCCCUAUGGAAAUUUUCGCACCCGUAUAUAUAUUCUACAUUAUUUGGUUGCAAAGACUAUAAUUAACAAGAAGCUAAUAUAUAUAGUAGAGAGAGAAAUAACAAGUUCAAUGUUGGUAAAAUUUUAUCUUCCCUUCACUGCUCUCCUUUGCUGCAAUCAAGUGGCCUCACUUACAAAUUUUGACUUUUAAUUAUUUCAAUUAACACAAGAAAAAAAGGGCAAUAUAGUUUACAUUACUCUAUCAGCCUUAUAUAAAGGGUAUAAAUAUGAGAGUGCGUUUGGAAUUGAAGUCGGACACUUGUCGCUUAAAAGCUACAGUAGCAAAGUGUUUGGUAAAUACUAAUUGUUGUGUCUUGAAAGAUAUGUUGAUAUGAUUUUUCACUUGUAUAAUAGAGAAUUUAUUAUUUUAUUAUUAAUAAUUUCGUUAAAAUUAUUAUUUAAAAUUUAUAUUUAUUAAAUAUUAUUAACUUUUGUUUUAUAGUUACAAUUUUUUUUUUUUACAGCAACUGUACCUUAAAAGUUAUAACACUUCAAUUCCAAACGUACCUUAAGUCUGUAAGGCAUAAGUUUUCACUCUUCGGGAAUCUAAGGAGAUUAGGGCAAGAGCUGCACAUUUGUAGUCUCAAAUUCAUUUGACAUCAGCCAAUUUAAUGUCUAUGGACGGGUAUAAAGGACGUCACAGACGGUUAAAGAACAAGGUGUUUGAUGGAAAUGUCAAGAAGUUCGAUGAAAUGUCUCACCUACACAACCAAGCCACUUAACAUUGCAGUCUUAUAAUACAAUUCCUACCUUCUCUUCCAUUUUCACCAACAUAAUUCUUUCUUUCUCACUUUAUUUUCUUCCUUGAAAUUUUUGUUAACAAAAAUGGGUAACAUCAUUCUCAUGCGUGCUUCUUAUCACCAGACUCAAUUCUUGCAGUUUUAUUUUAUUUUAUUUUUCCUUCGUGGAGAUGCUAAAAUAUAUAUGAGAUCUAAAAAGCUAAUCUUGAUGAGUUGCAGAAUCCAAUGCAGAAUUUGAAAGUUACAAAAGAUUAUAAAUACUAUUUUAACUUGUAAGCUUCCAUUGCUAUACAGUGAGGUAUGUCUAGAUAUCAUUUUGGUCUUUUAUAUAUUGGGUUCCAGUGAAAGACUUUUGUUCUAGUUGAAUUUAAUUUUGUCUUUGUAUUUACAGACAAAAUAUUAGGGACAUUUAUCAUACAUAUUUGGCUAGUUCGCCGUGGAAAAAUAAUAAUAGUUGAAAAGACAUAGGGUACUUUUUAUUUUCCUUUAUAUUACUAAUAGAUUUCCCACGCGCAACAGACGAAGUCAUUGCUGCUUCAAUAAUUGCCCUAUCACUGUGUUCAUCAUCACAAAUUUCUUUAUUACGUUUGUGAAAUAACCAUUGCAUAAAAAAAUUACUCCAACUUUUUAACUAAUAAUAGAUAUCUCAAAUUUUAUUUUCAGAAUAUGGUAUGUAAUGUAAGCGAUCGAUAGUUCUUUAUAAAAUAUAUAAAUAAAUUAAUAGUGUUAUCUUAGUGUCUAAUAUAUAUAAAUGACUUUCUCCAUAUAUUGCACUAUUGAUAUGGGCUAAAGUUUUAUACUAUGAGACCCAAUUUCUAUAAUUUACACUAUAAGUUAAAAGUAUUUAGAAAAAUACUAUUGCAAAUCAAAAGGUAUUAUCUAUUUUAUACCUAAAGCAUUUUCACUAUUUAAGACUAGUAAAAUUUCUAUAUUAUUAUAAUAUUAGAAUCAAACACCAAUAAGCGAGUAAAUCAGGUGGAAUAAGAAUGUUCUAACUUAACCAAGGUCCUCGGUUUGAAACUUAGAAAUGCAACUACAUUAAAUACUUAUUGGGAGAGAUUUGCCGCUUUAGUGGUUCUAUCCGGCUCGAAUCUAGAUUAGUCGGGGAUCUAAUGUGGUCUUUGGAUACUAGAUGAUUUAAUAUACCGAUAAUAUUGGAACCAAACUCAUUUACAAUUAUGAAGAGGUUAUAAUUUAAUAGAGGCAUAGUAACAAACUAUUAAUAGAGAGUAUAAAAUUUAAUGUAUAAACAAAAUUCUAUAAUUUACACUAUAAGUUGCAAGUAUUUAGGUCAAUACUAUUGCAAAUCAGAAGAUAUUAUAUAUUUUAUGCCGAAAAUAUUUCCACUAUUUAAGGCUAGUAAAACUUCUAUAUAAUUAUAAUAUUGGAACCAAACACCAACAAGCGAGUAAAUCAACUAGAAUGGAAAUGUUCUAACGUCAAGGUCCUCGGUUCAAAACUUAGAAAUGCAACUACAUUAAAUAUUUAUUGGGAGAGAUUUGCCGCUCUAGUAGUUCUAUCCGGGUCGAAUCUGGAUUAGUCGGGAAUCUAAUGUGGUCUUUGGAUACUAGAUGAUUUAAUGUACCAAUAAUAUUGGAACCAAACUAAUUUACAAUUAUGAGGAGGUUAUAAUUUAAUAGAGGCGUAGUAACAAACUAUUAAUAGAGCGUAUCAAAUUUAAUAUUGGAAUCCGAUGAUUGGUUGCAACAUAAGAUAUUUGUAAGCUUAGUUAAAGGUUCAUUAAAAAUUAUAGAGAUAUAUAAUUUCGCAGUCGACGAAGCCAUGCAUGAGGUUAAGGCAAGUGAUGGAAUGACUUGCGUUACAAAAGAGGUAUGUGAAGUUGCACUAUAAAAAUAAAAUAAAUUUGUAUUUUCAAGUAGUGAAGGUGUAGUUAGUUUAUUUGCGGUAGCAGUUUCACAGCUGACAGAUGAACAAAGAGUGGCUGCUUGUCAAAUGGGCUUUGGUAGUUUGCUACAAUUGAACCGUGGCAAGCUAAAAAGGAAACUUUGUGGCUAGUUAAUUGAGAUGAUUGAUACUUUGAGGUACAUUUUAGAGUUGAAUGGUAUUAGCUUUCAAACAAGAUCAUCAAAGAAACUCUACCAACUAGGAAAUUUAAACUUAAUCUAUGCUCCGCAAAUUCGAAUAUUCUCUAAUAUGAAACUACUUUUAUGUGUUUUAUUAUUCCUAGCUUUUACCGACUUGGUAACGUUGUUAUGGAAGCACGACAACUAUUAUGUCCGUGUAAUUUUUAUUGUAUCUUUUGUUAUGUCAUGAUAUCGAAGCUUAGUUUUAUGACUCUAACUACUAAGAACUGCAAUUGCAGCAUCUUUUGAAUAUUACAUAUGUGCUUGUAGUAUCUCGACGGAUUAAAACCUGCUAUUUAAGUUCUUCUACCCCUCCCCCCCUUCAUUCUUUCAUUUAUACUUGCUGCACUAUUUACUUCGCACUCUGUAAAGCCAGAUGAAAGCUUGUUCAUUUAUGUUCACUUGCAAUUCAAAAGCACAGUUUAUUUCAACUGUCAAAUUGACAACUUGCACGUAUAGAUUUCAGUCGAAACAAGGUUAUUGGUCGAUCAAGAAAUUGAAUCCAUAUGGCCGUUCCAGCGUUAUUCAACUACCUAAUAUCAAAUAUAUAAAUUAAUUCAACCCACUUCUGUGUCAAAGGCAUGGAACAAAUUAUGAAAGAUUUUUCAGCUAUCAUAAAUUCGAACGAGUGUAGUUUGUAUCCUUUCGAACUUAGACAGAUUUUCCUUCCAUUAACCUUACAGUGUUAGUAAUCCUAUUACUUGUUUUUAAAGCUUGAAUAGUAUACCGAAAUUUUUGGUUUUUGCAACAUAAACUUGUAUGUAAUGUACAUUUUAUAGUUCUUUACAAAUUAAUUGCUGCUAAAAUAAUUGUUUCGACUACUAUAUUUAUUGUUAUAAUAGAUAAACAUUUUCUUGCAACUCAAACAGUUCCAAUGGCAUGAUCUGCAUCCCCCGUUUGCCUCUUGGGCUACGAACCUGCUUAACAGCUGCACCAUCUUGCUCCUUUUCAUCAAACGGCAACUUCGCUGCAGACAAAAAGAGGGGGUACACUGCCCAGGGGCACCAUAAACGCAGCCCAAAAAGAUGAUUUUGUCUUUCCAUGUCUUAGUAUUUUAACCAAAAAUAAUAAUAAUAAUUCUUUACAUCAUCAAUGAUUGCACUUGUAAGCCAGGCAAUAGUUUUUUUAUUAAAUAAAAAAUUAAUGUUAAAUUUUUUUUUUUUUUUUUUUUUUUUUAUCUAGCUAUCAUUGACUUAAUAUUUUGAAUCUUCAUCCAAAGUUAAGGCACAAAACUUUUAUUCUAAAUAAAUAUUCUCAAUAUAAAUUUAUCACUUAAAUAAUAAAUAAUAAGAUUUAACAUUAAUUCUGUCGUUACUGAAAUGAAUUGUAAAUUUUAUAUGACGUGUAAACGUAUCAUUAUGUUCUUGAUAUUUGACAUAUGAAUUAUAAAGCAACAAAUGUAUCAUAUUUUAUUUCGGUAUUGUGCUUCUCCAUAUUUGCUUAAUUCUUUUCGUUGUACUCAUUGCUUCUCUUCCUCUUUUCGUCAACGACAAUGGGUAACCUAAUCUCAACCUUCUUACCAGCAGACUUAUUUGAUCGAAUUUCAAACUGCGUUGGUGAACAAGCAAAAUAUGUAUGGGGUCUCGAAAAAAAUCUUCGGAUCUUGGAGACUGAAUUGCACAAAUUGACUCGAGCAAGGGCCGAUCUGAAGACCAGGGUUGAGGUCGAACAACAACGACCUCGAACCAGACGAACGAACCAGGUCGCAGGGUGGCUUGAAGAUGUGCAAAAUCUGGAAACUGAAUUUGCCGAGCUGGAACGAGUCAGAGCUCAAGAAAUGGAUAGAUUGUGCCUUGGAGG